UACGAGAGGCCCAAACAUUAUUCGGAAUUACUGGGCGUAAAGCGUGCGCAGGCGGCUUCUCAAGUCAGGGGUGAAAGCCCAGAGCUCAACUCUGGAAUUGCCUUUGAGACUGAGUGGCUUGAGUACGAGAGAGGUGAGUGGAAUUCCCAGUGUAGAGGUGAAAUUCGUAGAUAUUGGGAAGAACACCGGUGGCGAAGGCGGCUCACUGGCUCGUAACUGACGCUCAUGCACGACAGCGUGGGGAUCAAACAGG
rnacentral:rRNA from 1 species